UGGGCAAACCAGACAAUCGCGUGCAGAUUUUUCUGUAUGAGGAAAGUCCGGGCUCCAUAGGGUAAGGAUGCCAGAUAACGUCUGGCGUAGGUAACUAUAGGGAAAGUGCAACAGAAACAUACCGCCGAACGGCCUCAUGGCGCGUGGCAAGGUUGAAAUGGUGAGGUAAGAGCUCACCGGCGUAGUGGAGACACUGCGGCCGUGUAAACCCCAUCCGGAGCAAGACAAAGUAGGGCAAUGAUGUAGCUACCCGUUACAGCCCAAAAGGUAUGUCGCUAGAGGCUAUCAGCAAUGGUAGUUCGAGAUGGAUGAUUGUCAAAUACAAAACCCGGCUUAUAGGUUUGCCCAAUAU
rnacentral:RNase_P_RNA from 1 species